CUUCGGUUCAAUAAAGUUGACCUCUCCUUCAGGCGACUUAAAGGGAGACCAGAUGUGCGGCAGCUGGGUGUCAUGGUGCAGAGACCCAACGCUGCACUGAACUACACCAGUGUGUCCUACUCCCCAUAAACCCUGAGGAUCCCUGGCUACACCAGCACAUUAAUCCACACCCAACAUUAACACACAGUGCACACUCUAUAGAGCUUGUAAGUCCGCCCCUUGCGGUGGGACCUCGUGAGAUCGUAUGAUAUGACUGGGUUUCAAUGGAGAGAAAGUAAUUAUUUUCUCCAUUAUGUUGCACCACAUUUUGGGGGAAGAAUGUUUGAAUCAAUCUUUGUCAUUUAUUUCUGUACUCCACAUCUGUAAUCCCAGCUGUUGUAUUUUAACACGGUAGCUGGGAACCCUCUUUAUAGGGAGCGGCUAGAGGGACGAGGCUGGAAGCAAACCUGAGCCUGGAUCUUAACCUUCUUUCUAAACCUAAUGCCGCAAUUUAACCGCAAAUAAAGUGAGGCCUAAAGUAACUUGACUCUUACCUAAACUUGCUUGCCUAAACUCGCUUGUCUAAACUCGCUUGCAUAAAACCUAAACUCGCUUGCAUAAAACCUGAACUUGCUUGGCUAAACUCGCGUCGCUUGCCUAAUACCUGAACUUGCUUGCCUAAACUCGCUUGCCUAAUACCUGAACCCGCUUGCCUAAACCCGCUUGCCUAAACCCGCUUGCCUAAACCCGCUUGCCUAAACCCGCUUGCCUAAACCCGCUUGCCUAAACUCGCUUGCCUAAUACCUGAACUCACUUGCAUAAAACCUAAACUCGCUUGGCUUGACUCGCUUACCUGUACUCGCUUGCCUGAACUCGCUUGCCUAAUACCUGAAGUCGCUUGCCUAAUACCCGAAGUCGCUUGCCUGAACUCGCUUGCCUAAUACCUGAACACGCUUGCAUAAAACCUAAACUCGCUUAGCUUGACUCGCUUGCCUGUACUCGCUUGGCUAAAUACGCUUGCAUAAAACCUAAACUCGCUUGGCUUGACUCGCUUGCCUGUACUCGCUUGGCUAAACUCGCUUGCCUAAUACCUGAAGUCGCCUGCCUAAACUCGCUUGCCUAAAACCUAAACUUGCUUGUCCAAACGCGUUACACAAAGUUAACCAUCCAUAAUCUUUAACCCAAACCAGACUUGUCCCUGGGUCGCUCCACUUUAAUUUAGAAGUUUCUUCUUUUACCUCAUCUGCGUUUUGAGUUUCAUUCUUUGAGGGCUUGAAGUGCUUUGGAGGAUAUUUGAACCUUUGUUUGCCGCAUCAAUAAACAUGCUUUAUCUUUA